rnacentral:rRNA from 1 species
AAAUGAAUAGACGGGGGCCCGCACAAGCGGUGGAGCAUGUGGUUUAAUUCGACGAUACGCGAGAAACCUUACCUGGGUUUGACAUGGAUUUGACUGGGGUAGAGAUACCCCUUCCCGCAAGGGCAGAUUCACAGGUGUUGCAUGGUCGUCGUCAGCUCGUGUUGUGAGAUGUUGGGUUAAGUCCCGCAACGAGCGCAACCCCUAUCUUCUGUUGCCAUCAUUAAGUUGGGCACUCUGAAGAAACCGCCGGUGACAAACCGGAGGAAGGUGGGGAUGACGUCAGAUCAGCAUGGCCCUUAUAUCCAGGGCUACACACGUGCUACAAUGGCCGGUACAGAGGGACGCAAUGCCGCGAGGUGGAGCAAAUCCCACAAAGCCGGUCUCAGUUCAGAUUGCAGUCUGCAACUCGACUGCAUGAAGUCGGAAUCGCUAGUAAUCGCAAAUCAGCAUGUUGCGGUGAAUACGUUCCCGGGCCUUGUACACACCGCCCGU